GUUGUAUGGUUAAGUGACUAAGCGUACACGGUGGAUGCCUUGGCAGUCAGAGGCGAUGAAAGACGUAGUAACUUGCGAUAAGCCCAGAUUAGGUAGUAACAACCAUUUGAGUCUGGGAUUUCUGAAUGGGGAAACCCACGUGCAUAAGCACGUAUCCUUACCUGAAUACAUAGGGUAAGGAGGCGAACCGGGGGAACUGAAACAUCUAAGUACCCCGAGGAAAAGAAAUCAACCGAGAUUCCGAAAGUAGCGGCGAGCGAAAUUGGACUAGCCCUUAAGCUUUACACGCGUUAGACGAACGGUCUGGAAAGUCCGACGAUACAGGGUGAUAGUCCCGUAGUUGACGACGUGUGUUCAGUGAAAUCGAGUAGGGCGGGACACGUGAUAUCCUGUCUGAAUAUGGGGGGACCAUCCUCCAAGGCUAAAUACUACUGACUGACCGAUAGUGAACCAGUACCGUGAGGGAAAGGCGAAAAGAACCCCUGUGAGGGGAGUGAAAUAGAACCUGAAACCGUGUACGUACAAGCAGUAGGAGCAGGCUUGUCCUGUGACUGCGUACCUUUUGUAUAAUGGGUCAGCGACUUAUAUUCAGUGGCAAGGUUAACCAUCUAGGGGAGCCGUAGGGAAACCGAGUCUUAACUGGGCGUUCAGUCUCUGGAUAUAGACCCGAAACCAGGUGAUCUAGCCAUGGGCAGGUUGAAGGUUGAGUAACAUCAACUGGAGGACCGAACCGACUAAUGUUGAAAAAUUAGCGGAUGACUUGUGGCUAGGGGUGAAAGGCCAAUCAAACCUGGAGAUAGCUGGUUCUCCCCGAAAGCUAUUUAGGUAGCGCCUCGGACGAAUACUACUGGGGGUAGAGCACUGUUAAGGCUAGGGGGUCAUCCCGACUUACCAACCCUUUGCAAACUCCGAAUACCAGUAAGUACUAUCCGGGAGACACACGGCGGGUGCUAACGUCCGUCGUGGAGAGGGAAACAACCCAGACCGCCAGCUAAGGUCCCAAAUUACUACUAAGUGGGAAACGAUGUGGGAAGGCUCAGACAGCCAGGAUGUUGGCUUAGAAGCAGCCAUCAUUUAAAGAAAGCGUAAUAGCUCACUGGUCGAGUCGGCCUGCGCGGAAGAUGUAACGGGGCUAAGUAGUAAACCGAAGCUGCGGCAAUGUGCUUUUGCACAUUGGGUAGGGGAGCGUUCUGUAAGCGGUUGAAGGUGUGUGGUAACGCAUGCUGGACGUAUCAGAAGUGCGAAUGCUGACAUGAGUAACGAUAAAGGGGGUGAAAAACCUCCUCGCCGGAAGACCAAGGGUUCCUGUCCAACGUUAAUCGGGGCAGGGUAAGUCGACCCCUAAGGCGAGGCCGAAAGGCGUAGUCGAUGGGAAACGGGUUAAUAUUCCCGUACUUCUUACAAUUGCGAUGGGGGGACGGAGAAGGCUAGGUGGGCCUGGCGACGGUUGUCCAGGUUCAAGUGCGUAGGCUUAAGAGUUAGGUAAAUCCGGCUCUUUCUAAGGCUGAGACACGACGUCGAGCACCUACGGGUGUGAAGUCAUUGAUGCCAUGCUUCCAGGAAAAGCCUCUAAGCUUCAGAUUGUAAGGAAUCGUACCCCAAACCGACACAGGUGGUCGGGUAGAGAAUACCAAGGCGCUUGAGAGAACUCGGGUGAAGGAACUAGGCAAAAUGGUACCGUAACUUCGGGAGAAGGUACGCUCUCGACGGUGAAGUCCCUUGCGGAUGGAGCUGACGAGAGUCGCAGAUACCAGGUGGCUGCAACUGUUUAUUAAAAACACAGCACUGUGCAAAAUCGUAAGAUGACGUAUACGGUGUGACGCCUGCCCGGUGCCGGAAGGUUAAUUGAUGGGGUUAGACUUCGGUCGAAGCUCUUGAUCGAAGCCCCGGUAAACGGCGGCCGUAACUAUAACGGUCCUAAGGUAGCGAAAUUCCUUGUCGGGUAAGUUCCGACCUGCACGAAUGGCGUAAUGAUGGCCACGCUGUCUCCACCCGAGACUCAGUGAAAUUGAAAUCGCUGUGAAGAUGCAGUGUACCCGCGGCUAGACGGAAAGACCCCGUGAACCUUUACUACAGCUUGGCACUGAACAUUGACCCUACAUGUGUAGGAUAGGUGGGAGGCUUUGAAGCACGUACGCCAGUAUGUGUGGAGCCGUCCUUGAAAUACCACCCUUGUAGUGUUGAUGUUCUAACGUCGACCCCUUAUCGGGGUUGCGGACAGUGCCUGGUGGGUAGUUUGACUGGGGCGGUCUCCUCCCAAAGAGUAACGGAGGAGCACGAAGGUGGGCUAAUCACGGUUGGACAUCGUGAGGUUAGUGCAAUGGCAUAAGCCCGCUUGACUGCGAGAAUGACAAUUCGAGCAGGUGCGAAAGCAGGUCAUAGUGAUCCGGUGGUUCUGAAUGGAAGGGCCAUCGCUCAACGGAUAAAAGGUACUCCGGGGAUAACAGGCUGAUACCGCCCAAGAGUUCAUAUCGACGGCGGUGUUUGGCACCUCGAUGUCGGCUCAUCACAUCCUGGGGCUGAAGUCGGUCCCAAGGGUAUGGCUGUUCGCCAUUUAAAGUGGUACGCGAGCUGGGUUUAGAACGUCGUGAGACAGUUCGGUCCCUAUCUGCCGUGGGCGUUGGAAGAUUGAAGGGGGCUGCUCCUAGUACGAGAGGACCGGAGUGGACGAACCUCUGGUGUUCGGGUUGUGUCGCCAGACGCAUUGCCCGGUAGCUAAGUUCGGAAUCGAUAACCGCUGAAAGCAUCUAAGCGGGAAGCGAGCCCUGAGAUGAGUCUUCCCUGAUACUUUAAGUAUCCUAAAGGGUUGUCGGAGACUACGACGUUGAUAGGUCAGGUGUGUAAGUGCUGUGAGGCAUUGAGCUAACUGAUACUAAUUGCCCGUGAGGCUUAACCAUACAACACCCAAGGGGUUU
rnacentral:rRNA from 1 species